UGGGGAAUAUUGCGCAAUGGGCGAAAGCCUGACGCAGCAACACCGCGUGAGGGAUGACGGCCUUCGGGUUGUAAACCUCUUUCAGCUCCGACGAAGCGAAAGUGACGGUAGGAGCAGAAGAAGCACCGGCUAACUACGUGCCAGCAGCCGCGGUAAUACGUAGGGUGCAAGCGUUGUCCGGAAUUAUUGGGCGUAAAGAGCUCGUAGGCGGUCCGUUGCGUCUGCCGUGAAAACCCGGAGCUCAACUCCGGGCCUGCGGUGGAUACGGGCGGACUAGAGUCCGGUAGGGGAGACUGGAAUUCCUGGUGUAGCGGUGGAAUGCGCAGAUAUCAGGAGGAACACCGGUGGCGAAGGCGGGUCUCUGGGCCGGAACUGACGCUGAGGAGCGAAAGCGUGGGGAGCGAACAGGAUUAGAUACCCUGGUAGUCCACGCCGUAAACGGUGGGCGCUAGGUGUGGGGAUCGUUUCCACGAUCUCCGUGCCGUAGCUAACGCAUUAAGCGCCCCGCCU
rnacentral:rRNA from 1 species